rnacentral:rRNA from 1 species
CCUACGGGUGGCAGCAGUGAGGAAUAUUGGUCAAUGGGCUUACGCCUGAACCAGCCAAGUCGCGUGAGGGAAGACUGCCCUAUGGGUUGUAAACCUCUUUUGUCAGGGAGCAACGCCGGCUACGUGUAGCCGGACUGAGAGUACCUGAAGAAAAAGCAUCGGCUAACUCCGUGCCAGCAGCCGCGGUAAUACGGAGGAUGCGAGCGUUCUCCGGAUUUAUUGGGUUUAAAGGGUGCGUAGGCGGAAUGCCAAGUCAGCGGUAAAAUCGCGGGGCUCAACCUCGCUCCGCCGUUGAAACUGGCGUUCUUGAGUGGGCGAGAAGUAUGCGGAAUGCGUGGUGUAGCAGUGAAAUGCGUAGAUAUCGAGAGGAACACUCGUGGCGAAGGCGGGUUCCUGGACAUUAACUGACGCUGAGGCACGAAGGCCAGGGGAGCGAAAGGGAUUAGAUACCCCUGUAGUC